GAUGAACGCUGGCGGCGUGCCUAAUACAUGCAAGUAGAACGCUGAAGGAGGAGCUUGCUCUUUCCGGAUGAGUUGCGAACGGGUGAGUAACGCGUAGGUAACCUGCCUGGUAGCGGGGGAUAACUAUUGGAAACGAUAGCUAAUACCGCAUAACAGUAGAUAUUGCAUGAUAUUUGCUUGAAAGGGGCAAUUGCUCCACUACCAGAUGGACCUGCGUUGUAUUAGCUAGUUGGUGAGGUAACGGCUCACCAAGGCGACGAUACAUAGCCGACCUGAGAGGGUGAUCGGCCACACUGGGACUGAGACACGGCCCAGACUCCUACGGGAGGCAGCAGUAGGGAAUCUUCGGCAAUGGACGGAAGUCUGACCGAGCAACGCCGCGUGAGUGAAGAAGGUUUUCGGAUCGUAAAGCUCUGUUGUAAGAGAAGAACGAGUGUGAGAGUGGAAAGUUCACACUGUGACGGUAGCUUACCAGAAAGGGACGGCUAACUACGUG
rnacentral:rRNA from 1 species